AGUGAACGCUGGCGGUAGGCCUAACACAUGCAAGUCGAACGGCAGCACAGUAAGAGCUUGCUCUUACGGGUGGCGAGUGGCGGACGGGUGAGGAAUACAUCGGAAUCUACUUUUUCGUGGGGGAUAACGUAGGGAAACUUACGCUAAUACCGAAUACGACCUACGGGUGAAAGCAGGGGAUCUUCGGACCUUGCGCGAUUGAAUGAGCCGAUGUCGGAUUAGCUAGUUGGCGGGGUAAAGGCCCACCAAGGCAACGAUCCGUAGCUGGUCUGAGAGGAUGAUCAGCCACACUGGAACUGAGACACGGUCCAGACUCCUACGGGAGGCAGCAGUGGGGAAUAUUGGGCAAUGGGCGCAAGCCUGAUCCAGCCAUACCGCGUGGGUGAAGAAGGACUUCGGGUUGUAAAGCCCUGUUGUUGGGAAAGAAAAGCAGCAGGUUAAUACCCCGCUGUUCUGACGGUACCCAAAGAAUAAGCACCGGCUAACUUCGUG
rnacentral:rRNA from 1 species